AACGAACGCUGGCGGCAUGCCUAACACAUGCAAGUCGAACGAGACCUUCGGGUCUAGUGGCGCACGGGUUCGUAACGCGUGGGAACCUGCCCUUAGGUUCGGACUAACUCCCCGAAAGGGGUGCUAAUACCGGAUAAUGUCUUCGGACCAAAGAUUUAUCGACUUUGGAUGGACCCGCGUUGGAUUAGCUAGUUGGUAGGGUAAAAGCCUACCAAGGCGACGAUCCAUAGCUGGGCUGAGAGGAUGAUCAGCCACACUGGGACUGAGACACGGCCCAGACUCCUACGGGAGGCAGCAGUGGGUAAUAGUGGACAAUGGGCGAAGGCCUGAUCCAGCAAUGCCGCGUGAGUGAUGAAGGCCGUAGGGUUGUAAAGCUCUUUUACCCGGGAUGAUAAUGACAGUACCGGGAGAAUAAGCUCCGGCUAACUCCGUG
rnacentral:rRNA from 1 species